rnacentral:sRNA from 1 species
CCUGAGUGCAGUGGUGUUCACAACUAAUUGACCAUAACCAGUUACAGAUUCCUUUGUUCCUUCUCCACUCCCACUGCUAGGCUUGG